UACGAAGGGAGCUAGCGUUGUUCGGAAUCACUGGGCGUAAAGCGCACGUAGGCGGCGCGGUAAGUCGGGUGUGAAAUCUUGGAGCUUAACUCCGAAACUGCAUUCGAUACUGCCGUGCUUGAGGACUGGAGAGGAGACUGGAAUUUACGGUGUAGCGGUGAAAUGCGUAGAUAUCGUAAGGAAGACCAGUGGCGAAGGCGGGUCUCUGGACAGUUCCUGACGCUGAGGCACGAAGGCCAGGGGAGCAAACGGG
rnacentral:rRNA from 1 species